AGUGAACGCUGGCGGUAGGCCUAACACAUGCAAGUCGAACGGCAGCACAGUAAGAGCUUGCUCUUACGGGUGGCGAGUGGCGGACGGGUGAGGAAUACAUCGGAAUCUACUUUUUCGUGGGGGAUAGCGUAGGGAAACUUACGCUAAUACCGCAUACGACCUACGGGUGAAAGCAGGGGAUCUUCGGACCUUGCGCGAUUGAAUGAGCCGAUGUCGGAUUAGCUAGUUGGCGGGGUAAAGGCCCACCAAGGCGACGAUCCGUAGCUGGUCUGAGAGGAUGAUCAGCCACACUGGAACUGAGACACGGUCCAGACUCCUACGGGAGGCAGCAGUGGGGAAUAUUGGACAAUGGGCGCAAGCCUGAUCCAGCCAUACCGCGUGGGUGAAGAAGGCCUUCGGGUUGUAAAGCCCUUUUGUCGGGAAAGAAAAGCAGCAGGUUAAUACCCCGCUGUUCUGACGGUACCCAAAGAAUAAGCACCGGCUAACCUCGUG
rnacentral:rRNA from 1 species